UCACGAAUCAAAAUCAAAUUCGCUCAAAAUGUUUACUGGUUCGUAAUAAAACUGUCAUCCUGUAUUAUAUAUACACACACAGAUGUUUGGCAUUUGCUGUUUUAUAAAUUAAAAAUAAAUAAAAUGUCGUCUGAACCAUACACGUCGUUCGCGAUCAGUAUAACUGCAGUUUAGUGCGUUUAAUUUAGAGAUUGGUAACUGAUCUUGUUUUUGCCGCUAUAGAAAACACGAAAUCAGACGGUCUGAAUUUUAAUUUCACAAUUCAAACGUAUAUUUUUCACAUGCAGUGGCGUGUGGUAACAUAAUCAAUCCUGCUUGAUUGUUAAUUAAAUCAUACGGUUAAUUGACGGAACUCAGCCGAUUCACUUGUUACGCCAUAGGAAUAAUUAGUUUAAAUUAUUGUUGUCUUCUGUUUUAACCGCGGUGUGUUUCGACGGAAUAUUAUCGGUAGUUAUUUUUUUCAUUGAAUUAAAGUGCAUUAAAUUGUACAUGAUAUUUUUUAAUGACAGUAAAAUCCGUGUAUUAUACAGUCGGAUUUUAGAUUCUUAAUAGGGCGAGGAAUGUAUUGAUUUUAUAAUAAUGUUUAUUAUUUUUUAUUUUCUGUAAACAAAUAUUAUUAAAAAAAAAAAACAAACUAUAAUUCAUAAUAUAUAAUUAUUUUACCAUAAUACAAGGUGUGUUCAAAAAUGUCUGUUUGGACUGUUUGAGUUGUGGGCCAACGGAGCGUCCAUAGAGCUGUAAGAUUUAUAUCAUUGGGUUCUGUGACUUCUCUUGAGUAUAUCUGUUUUUGUAGAUUGUCUAUAACCUUUCUUUAUUUUGAUGUCAUCGAUUUUUUUGUAAAAUAUUUUUUUCAAUAAUGUAGAGGAAGGUCCAAGUUUAAAUUUAUCAGGAACUUUUGACUAAAUGACAGUAAAAACUUUUUGACGAUUUAUCAAAAUAAUAAUUAUUACCUGUUUCAUAAUGUUAUCAUCAAAAUGAAAGAAAAAUUUUCUCCAACCAACUCCCUCCCCCCAAAAACAAAUUCGUCUUUUAAAUUGAUAACAAAAUCGCCAAAUACGAAAAAAAUAUUUUAAGAAAACAUUGGUCGUAUCAAAACAAAAAAAUGUAUAGAGAAUCUAAAAAUACAGAAGUAAGUACUCCGAAUAAAAGUCACAGAAUCCAGUGAUAUCAGUUUUAUUGCUCUUGGACUCUCUGUUGGAGCGCAAUCAAUCAGUCCUGGAACAUUUUGAACACAACUUGUAUGACAGCGACACUACCAACCGAACUCCGUUCAAAAUCGUUUUUUCAUUAGCAAUGGUUAAUUGUAGACAAUCAUGUAAAUAUACAUUAAAUUUCCCCUCUACUAGCUUUUUAACUUGUCACACACAACAGUGGCCCACCCACGUACGAAGUAUGUCCGUCUUUUUACUUAUUAUUAUUAUAUUUUCACUAUUUUAUGUACCGAAAUAAAAGUCUGGGCAUGCUAAUCAAUUAAUGUAAAAUUAAUAAUCAUUUAGUUAAGUGUCGAUACAAUUCCAUCAUCAUGAUCAAACACGUGAUAAUGUUGUGGUAAUAAGUUGACGUUUACACCUAAUACUUUUUGAAACAGUAUUACUUACGAAGUACGAGUAAACAAUAAUAUUUUAUUGUUUUAGAUUCUGAGUGCAGUGUGGAAUAUAUUGGUUUAUGUUUUUGGUCUGUCUGUAAACAGACUGCAGAUUAGACUUUUCUACUAGAAAUCAUAUUU